rnacentral:rRNA from 1 species
AAUGAACGCUGGCGGCGUGCCUAACACAUGCAAGUCGAGCGAGAAAGUGGCUUCGGCCAUGAGUACAGCGGCGAACGGGUGAGUAACACGUGGGAUAACCUGCCUGGGGAGUGGGGGAUAACUCGGGGAAACCUGAGCUAAUACCGCAUACGCUUUCUGGAUUGCGAUCCAGAUCGGAAAGGUUGCCUCUUCUCGAAAGCUAUCGCUCCCAGAGGGGUCCGCGCCUGAUUAGCUAGUUGGUGGGGUAACGGCCCACCAAGGCGACCGAUCAGUAGCCGGCCUGAGAGGGUGAUCGGCCACACU